rnacentral:lncRNA from 1 species
CUUAGCUCUAUCUAGGUCGUUUCACGACUAAAAUCAGAUUGUGGAGAGACUUAAUGACUUGAGAUCAAUUAGGUGGAAUGCAAUUAGAUUCUUUAUAGUAAAAUAUAAAGGAAUUUUUUUACCUGAGGUUUGAGCAAAACGGAUGGGACCAGAUCGAUCAAGAAUACUGUACAUCAAGUUGACAAAAGAACUUUUCCAGAACCAGAAGACCCUGCAAGAAGAAUUGUAACCACACCGGGUAUUUCCAUAUCUUCUUUCUUGAUUCCUCCGACCGGGAACCAGAAGUCGCCAGACAAGUAACUUAUCAGAUUAUGCCGGAGAUCUCAAGCCCUUCAACAGCAACAAAAGCCAGCCUCUCCAUUUCUCUGAGAAAUUUGUGAGACUUGAGAAAUCAGUAAUGUCAAUUCUGAAAUGCCCAUUUACUUCGAAUUCUUCCUGUGUUCUCCACCAGCAAAUGGCCGAAUUUUGUUACGCAUUUUGAUCUUCAUCGCUGAAGGAAAGUUGGUUUCUCACUGGGCUAUGGAACAGAGAAUUAUACUGGAACUAAACCAAGGGAUUAAAGGUGAUUUUCAAAUACGGCAGAAUGGUCAAAACGAGCUCCUUUAUUAGCUAUCCACUCUACCGCCGAGCUAUCGAAGAACAAAUGGAGGUUAGAUUGUUCAGUUUCUAUGGGUUUUAAGUAGAUAAUAAGUUGUGGUUGAAUCAUAUAAAUGGAUACGUACAAGGAAAUUUAAUGGAAUUGAAGAGCGUGGGUGGGCGCCCUAAUUGAC